rnacentral:lncRNA from 1 species
UCUGUAUAUUGGAGGAGGAAAAAACCAUUUAGAGUUGUAUUAAAAAAUGUUUAAAUGAAUUUUCGUGACAGACUUUAUUUUUAUUGUGAAAGGUCAAGCGGAAACACUGCAUUUCCAUAUCCGGGGGAAAGGUGCAAACUAAAGAAGCUCGUGAUCUCUCCAGGAGACUCUCUCGAUGACUUGAGAGGCGUCAGGAGGUUCAGAGAGGAUGGAGAACCGGGCCGUGGAGAAGAACCACAUGUCCUGUCAGACGUGGGUCGGCCAGAACGGCUGGGCCCCGCCUUCGUCUCAGGGACUCCUCCUCAACCCGCACGCUGGCUCCCAGCACCUGGGCCUGGGCCCCCCGGAUCAGGGCUCGCUGUUCGGCCCCCUGCAGGGCUCCGGUCCCGGCUGCAUGGGCGACAUGAGCGCGCUGGCGAGCGCGCAUCACGCCGCUCUGAAGCCCCUCCACAUGAGCGGCGUUCCAACGUCCAACUCGCUGUUCGACAACAUCACAAACCAGGGGGCGUCGCACCUGCUGUCCUUCGCUCAGCAGAUGGCGGACCCCUCGUCUCUGCUGGCGAAAUCUGCCCCCCCACUGACUCUCCCCCCACCAGACCACGAGCUGCCGCCCUGCAGGCCGCAGCAUCUGACCCAGCUCCCGCCCUCGGACCCCCGCAAAGCUUUCCACGCGCCGCUAGCCGGCCACGCUUUAGCUAACGGGCAUCAGGAUCUCGCCGUCAGCUUUUCGGCGUGCGGGCAGCACGCCAUCUCGGCUCCUUUUGGGGCGCAGGGCCUGGAAGCGGGGGGUGUUUCUGGAUUUACCCAAAGCUACGGGGCGUCUGCGGCUCAGGACCACCCCCCGUGGUCGUCUUCACUGCACGGCCGAGGAGUUUUGAACGAGUCCGUCCCAAAUGCCAGAGUUUGUCCCAACAGAAAUCCGACUGAAGAGGAGCCGGCCGCUCCCGUGGCCGGCGGCGACAAAAGCCGCUCCAGCCUUUUGCAGCAGCGCGCGCAGCUCCUCAAGCAGCUGGAAAACAUGAACAGACUGCUGGAGUCGUUUCCUCCCGAGGAAGAGGAGGAGGAGGAUGAGGAGCAGCCUUCAAACACGCCGCCUCACGAAUCCUCCAGCGAGAAGACGGAGUCCAGCGGUGAAGCUCAGCGCUUUUCCCCGGAGGCAAAGCUGCGUCCUUCAGAGGAUUUCCCAACUUCAACCUGUGAGGAAGAAAACGGAGCUGAAGACGUUUCACCGCAUCCCGCCGAAGUACGUUUGAAUGUAUUUAAGCAUCAAUGUUCUCCUGAACGUCUGGCUCCACAAAUAUUCAGUCAGAAUCACAAUCUAAGAUCUAGAAGAU